rnacentral:rRNA from 1 species
UCAUGGCGGGGCUACACAUGCAGUCGAGCGGCAGCGGGGGAAAGCUUGCUUUCCCGCCGGCGAGCGGCGGACGGGUGAGUAAUGUCUGGGAAACUGCCUGAUGGAGGGGGAUAACUACUGGAAACGGUAGCUAAUACCGCAUAACGUCUUCGGACCAAAGUGGGGGACCUUCGGGCCUCAUGCCAUCAGAUGUGCCCAGAUGGGAUUAGCUAGUAGGUGGGGUAACGGCUCACCUAGGCGACGAUCCCUAGCUGGUCUGAGAGGAUGACCAGCCACACUGGAACUGAGACACGGUCCAGACUCCUACGGGAGGCAGCAGUGGGGAAUAUUGCACAAUGGGCGCAAGCCUGAUGCAGCCAUGCCGCGUGUAUGAAGAAGGCCUUCGGGUUGUAAAGUACUUUCAGCGGGGAGGAAGGUGUUGUGGUUAAUAACCACAGCAAUUGACGUUACCCGCAGAAGAAGCACCGGCUAACUCCGUGCCAGCAGCGGCGGGUAAUA